rnacentral:rRNA from 1 species
UUGCGGUUAAAAAGCUCGUAGUUGGAUCUCGGCAAGUAGAGGGCGGUAUGCUUCGUAGCAUUACUGCCCUAUUACUUGUAGUUUUGCCAGAGGUUCCUGGGUGCUCUUAAUCGAGUGUCUAGGGAUGCUGGCAGGUUUACUUUGAAAAAAUUAGAGUGCUCAAAGCAGGCUAUUACGCUUGAAUAUUCGUGCAUGGAAUAAUAUAAUAGGAAGUUGUUUCUAUUUUGUUGGUUUUCGGAAAUCGACUUAAUGAUUAAUAGGGACAGUCGGGGGCAUUUGUAUUCAAACGACAGAGGUGAAAUUCUUGGACCGUUUGAAGACAAACUACUGCGAAAGCAUUUGCCAAGAAUGUUUUCAUUAAUCAAGAACGAGAGUUAGAGGUUCGAAGGCGAUUAGAUACCGCCCUAGUUCUAACCAUAAACGAUGCCAGCUAGCGAUCUGAGGACGUUUUUUUUGUAGACUCCUCAGGAAGCUUCCGGGAAACCAAAGCGUGUGGGUUCCGGGGGAUGUAUGGUUGCAAAGCUGAUACUUAAAGGAAUUGACGGAAGGGCACCACCAGGAGUGGAGCCUGCGGCUUAAUUUGACUCAACACGGGAAAUCUCACCAUGCCCGGACACUGGAAGGAUUGACAGAUUGAGAGCUCUUUCUCGAU